GACGAACGCUGGCGGCGUGCCUAAUACAUGCAAGUCGAACGCAGUGGGGACGGGUGAGUAACACGUGGGUAAUCUCCCAUCAGAGGGGAUAACACUUGGAAACAGGUGCUAAACCGAUACUGAUGGAUGGACCCGCGGUGCAUUAGCUAGUUCGUGAGGUAACGGCUUACCAAGGCCACGAUCCCUAGCAGGUCUGAGAGGAUGACCAACCAGACGGGAACUGAGACACGGCCCAGAAUCCUACGGUAGGCAGCAGUGGGGAAUAUUGCACAAUGGGCGAAAGCCUGAUCCAGCCAUGCCGCGUGUAUGAAGAAGGCCUUCGGGUUGUAAAGUACUUUCAGCGGGGAGGCGUUACCCGCAGAAGAAGCACCGGCUAACUCCGUGCCAGCAGCCGCGGUAAUUC
rnacentral:rRNA from 1 species